rfam:Triticum aestivum genome assembly, contig: Triticum_aestivum_CS42_TGACv1_scaffold_133287_2BL
CAACUACUCCCUCUGUCCCAAAUUUCUUGUCUUAGAUUUGUCUAGAUACAGAUGUAUCUAAUACUAAAAUGUGACUUUGAUACAUCCGUAUCUAGACAAAUCUAAGACAAGAAUUUUGGGACGGAGGGAGUACUUU